AACCCACUAGUAGUGUGGUAAUGAUCCAAAAACAUUAAAAUAUACUACUAACUUAUUUCAAGACAUGAAACAAAAUAUAAGCUUGCUUGAUUUUGCUUGAUUGAAAUUGAUUUGGAAAUAAUGACCUGGCAUGUGAAAUAUGGAACAGCAUAUUGUCCUUUAACAUGACCCCAAAACAUGGCAAACAUGAGCGCUUAAAUACAAGACUAUGGGCAGCACAGGACAAAAUCAACAAUGAAAUCAGGAGACUUCAGGGUGGCAGCCAUGACGUGGGAUUGUGAUGUGAUGCUAAGGUGACUCUCUGCCAUUUCUCCAAUAGUGGUGAGCCACUUAGCAAGACAGCGUAGUCAUCGUAUUGAGCCAAAGAGCAUUUUACUCUCCCACCAGGCAUCUAUGAAUAAAUUGGCUCAUUAAUACCAUGAUGGGAAAAAAUAUUUUGUGCCACAUCAUUAAAGUCUGCCAAACAACAGAGCUCAAUGUUGUCCUCCACACAGUUCUCUAGGGAGCAUUUUCAAGACCGAACUGAACAAUGACAGGCAUAUAAUUUGUAAUGUAACUGGCCUGAAGCAGAUGAGGACGAAGGUGUAGAGAACCCAGGUGCAGUUUUAUUUCACAAUGGUGAUGAUCUAAAAACAUAAACUUAAACUAUGAACUUAAUACAUGAUAUAAAAACAAAACUUGAACAUUAACUAUGAGCUUGUUUUGACAAUAAAAAAUGACCUUACAUGUGGAACAUGGAACAACAUAACGUCCUUCAUUAUAUGAUCCCAAAACAUGGCAAACAUGUUUAACAUACAAGACUAGGGGGGAUGCAUCACAAAAACAACCAAUGACAGACAGAGGUUACAAAUGUAAUAACUAAAAUAAAAUCACAGUAUAGUAAAGAUGGGCUGCUUUGCUAAUCAAAAAUGUAUUAAAAAUGUUAAAACAUUCAUCUUAGACAAAUUAUGUUCUCUGAGUGUGUGUGUGUGUGUGUGUGUGUGUGUGUGUGACACAGGUCUAUAAUAACUGCUGAAAUGUUUGCAGGGCAAAUC
rnacentral:lncRNA from 1 species